UACGUAGGGUGCGAGCGUUGUCCGGAAUUAUUGGGCGUAAAGAGCUCGUAGGCGGUUUGUUGCGUCUAUCGUGAAAACCUGCAGCUUAACUGUGGGCUUGCGGUGGAUACGGGCAGACUUGAGUUCGGUAGGGGAGACUGGAAUUCCUGGUGUAGCGGUGAAAUGCGCAGAUAUCAGGAGGAACACCGGUGGCGAAGGCGGUUCUCUGGGCAUGACCUGACGCUGAGGAGCGAAAGUGUGGGGAGCGAACAGG
rnacentral:rRNA from 1 species